rnacentral:rRNA from 1 species
UACGAAGGGGGCUAGCGUUGCUCGGAAUCACUGGGCGUAAAGGGUGCGUAGGCGGGUCUUUAAGUCAGGGGUGAAAUCCUGGAGCUCAACUCCAGAACUGCCUUUGAUACUGAGGAUCUUGAGUUCGGGAGAGGUGAGUGGAGCUGCGAGUGUAGAGGUGAAAUUCGUAGAUAUUCGCAAGAACACCAGUGGCGAAGGCGGCUCACUGGCCCGAUACUGACGCUGAGGCACGAAAGCCAGGGGAGCAAACGGG